GAUGAACGCUGGCGGCGUGCCUAAUACAUGCAAGUCGAGCGAAAAGACGAGGAGCUUGCUCCUCUGACGGUAGCGGCGGACGGGAGAGUAACACGUGGAUAACCUACUUAUAAGUCUGGGAUAACAACGGGAGACCGGAGCUAAUACCGGAUAAUAUAUUGAACGGGAGGGUUCAAUAGAGAAUGACGGCUUUGCCGUCAGUUAUAGAUGGAUCCGCGCCGCAUUAGCUAGUUGGUAAGGUAACGGCAUACCAAGGCAACGAUGCGUAGCCGAUCUGAGAGGGUGACCGGCCACACUGGAACUGAGACACGGUCCAGACUCCUACGGGAGGCAGCAGUAGGGAAUUUUCGACAAUGGGCGCAAGCUUGACGCAGCAACGCCGCGUGAGUGAAGAAGGCCUUCGGAUCGUAAAGCUCUGUUGUUAGGAAAGAAAAGAUUUGGAAGAAACUCUGGACGUCUUGACGGUACCUAAACAGAAAGCCCCGGCUAACUACGUG
rnacentral:rRNA from 1 species